ensembl:lncRNA
GUCUGCUCUCCGAAACUCUGUUCUCAGUAAAAGCACCAUCAGGUCGAGAAAACAUGUACGUCAAUCAGUUCCUCUUUGCUUAAAUGAAUUCCGCAUGAAUUUGUCAUUUGCAACCAAGAGUUCUGACAAAUACAUUGCACAAGAAAAGAGAAAUCAUGAAUCAUGAAAAAUGGAUCUUAAUUCCUUUAAGAUGAUGGAGCCAGCAGCAAAUCACAUCUCUGUGCUGGGAACAGAGACAUCUAGAGAACAACUUCUUCGUGAGAAGAAAGAGAAGAGCUCUGGGAAUCAAGAAAGAACCAGUAGGAAAGCUAAAAAUCACAGAGAACAGAAGACAACCAGAGAAAGGAAUGAAGCAGUGUGGAAAGCUAACUCUGACUCCAGGGUAGAGGGGAUCUCACCCCCAAACACAAGGAUCUCACUAUGUAGACCAGGAUGGCUUGAACUCACUAUGUAGCCCAGUUGGCCUCGAAUUCAUGGCGAUCCUCCUGCCUCAGCAUCCCAAGUACUGGGAUUACAGGUUUAUCCUGGAGGACUUUUUCCUAGAUUCCUGUAACUAAAAAUUAGCUACAACAAUGUUUCUGAAAGAGGUUUUGGAUAAGCCAUCUAAAGCCUUAUAUACUUGAUACUAUUUUUAUUUACUUGUAUUUAAAUGAUAGUUGGGCUAUAUAUAAAAUUCUAGGUUGAAAGUCCUUUUCCAUCAAUGUUUUAAAAUAUUGCUUCACUGUCUCCUUGUAUCCUAUUUUGUGAUCAAGGUUUUCUGUCAGUCUGUUUUUCCCUUUUGAUCAACUUCUACAUAAAUGUUUUGAAAAUGUUU